GCUACAGGCUUAACACAUGCAAGUCGAGGGGCAUCAGGAAGAAAGCUUGCUUUCUUUGCUGGCGACCGGCGCACGGGUGAGUAACACGUAUCCAACCUGCCCUUUACUCGGGGAUAGCCUUUCGAAAGAAAGAUUAAUACCCGAUGGCAUAAUGAUUCCGCAUGGUUUCAUUAUUAAAGGAUUCCGGUAAAGGAUGGGGAUGCGUUCCAUUAGGUUGUUGGUGAGGUAACGGCUCACCAAGCCUUCGAUGGAUAGGGGUUCUGAGAGGAAGGUCCCCCACAUUGGAACUGAGACACGGUCCAAACUCCUACGGGAGGCAGCAGUGAGGAAUAUUGGUCAAUGGGCGCUAGCCUGAACCAGCCAAGUAGCGUGAAGGAUGAAGGCUCUAUGGGUCGUAAACUUCUUUUAUAUAAGAAUAAAGUGCAGUAUGUAUACUGUUUUGUAUGUAUUAUAUGAAUAAGGAUCGGCUAACUCCGUGCCAGCAGCCGCGGUAAUACGGAGGAUCCGAGCGUUAUCCGGAUUUAUUGGGUUUAAAGGGAGCGUAGGUGGACUGGUAAGUCAGUUGUGAAAGUUUGCGGCUCAACCGUAAAAUUGCAGUUGAUACUGUCAGUCUUGAGUACAGUAGAGGUGGGCGGAAUUCGUGGUGUAGCGGUGAAAUGCUUAGAUAUCACGAAGAACUCCGAUUGCGAAGGCAACUCACUGGACUGCAACUGACACUGAUGCUCGAAAGUGUGGGUAUCAAACAGGAUUAGAUACCCUGGUAGUCCACACAGUAAACGAUGAAUACUCGCUGUUUGCGAUAUACAGUAAGCGGCCAAGCGAAAGCAUUAAGUAUUCCACCUGGGGGGUACGCCGGCAACGGUGAAACUCAAAGGAAUUGACGGGGGCCCGCACAAGCGGAGGAACAUGUGGUUUAAUUCGAUGAUACGCGAGGAACCUUACCCGGGCUUAAAUUGCAGUGGAAUGAUGUGGAAACAUGUCAGUGAGCAAUCACCGCUGUGAAGGUGCUGCAUGGUUGUCGUCAGCUCGUGCCGUGAGGUGUCGGCUUAAGUGCCAUAACGAGCGCAACCCUUAUCUUUAGUUACUAACAGGUCAUGCUGAGGACUCUAGAGAGACUGCCGUCGUAAGAUGUGAGGAAGGUGGGGAUGACGUCAAAUCAGCACGGCCCUUACGUCCGGGGCUACACACGUGUUACAAUGGGGGGUACAGAAGGCAGCUAGCGGGUGACCGUAUGCUAAUCCCAAAAUCCUCUCUCAGUUCGGAUCGAAGUCUGCAACCCGACUUCGUGAAGCUGGAUUCGCUAGUAAUCGCGCAUCAGCCACGGCGCGGUGAAUACGUUCCCGGGCCUUGUACACACCGCCCGUCAAGCCAUGGGAGCCGGGGGUACCUGAAGUACGUAACCGCAAGGAUCGUCCUAGGGUAAAACUGGUGACUG
rnacentral:rRNA from 1 species